rnacentral:rRNA from 1 species
UUAAAUGGCUGCAGUAAUAUAACUGUACAAAGGUAGCAUAAUCAUUAGUUUUUUAAUUAAAAGCUUGUAUGAAAGGUUGGACGAAGUAAAAUCUGUCUCUUUUUAAUAUAAUUAGAAUUUAAUUUUUAAGUAAAAAAGCUUAAAUUUAUAUAAAAGACGAGAAGACCCUAUAGAGUUUAAUAAUUUAUUUUAAAUAAUUAAUUUAGAUUUAUUUAUUUUAUUUAUUGUAUAAUUAUUUUAUUGGGGUAAUAAAAAGAUUAAUAUAAUUCUUUUUUUUAUUUUACAUUAAUUUAUGAGUUAAAUGAUCCAUUUUUUAUGAUUAAAAG